rnacentral:rRNA from 1 species
AGCACCACAACGGGUGGAGCUUGCGGUUUAAUUGGAUUCAACGCCGGAAAUCUUACCGGGACCGACAGCAAUAUGAAGGCCAGGCUGAAGACUUUGCCGGAUUAGCUGAGAGGUGGUGCAUGGCCGUCGUCAGUUCGUACUGUGAAGCAUCCUGUUAAGUCAGGCAACGAGCGAGACCCACGCCCACAGUUGCCAGCGUACUCUCCGGAGUGACGGGUACACUGUGGGGACCGCCGCUGCUAAAGCGGAGGAAGGAAUGGGCAACGGUAGGUCAGUAUGCCCCGAAUAUCCCGGGCUACACGCGAGCUACAAUGGUUGGUACAAUGGGUAUCUACCCCGAAAGGGGAUGGAAAUCUCCUAAAGCCAAUCUUAGUCCGGAUUGAGGGCUGCAACUCGCCCUCAUGAAGCUGGAAUCCGUAGUAAUCGCGUUUCAACAGAACGCGGUGAAUACGUCCCUGCUCCUUGCACACA